rnacentral:miRNA from 1 species
ACCAGGUAAUUUCUCAGGUUAUAACCAGGUUAUAACCAGGUUAUAACCAGGUAAUGUCUCAGGUUAUAACCAGGUUAUAACUAGGUUAUAACCAGGUUAUGUCU